AUUGAACGCUGGCGGCAUGCCUUACACAUGCAAGUCGAACGGUAACAGGUCUUCGGAUGCUGACGAGUGGCGAACGGGUGAGUAAUACAUCGGAACGUGCCCGAUCGUGGGGGAUAACGAAGCGAAAGCUUUGCUAAUACCGCAUACGAUCUACGGAUGAAAGCAGGGGACCGCAAGGCCUUGCGCGAACGGAGCGGCCGAUGGCAGAUUAGGUAGGUGGUGGGAUAAAAGCUUACCAAGCCGACGAUCUGUAGCUGGUCUGAGAGGACGACCAGCCACACUGGGACUGAGACACGGCCCAGACUCCUACGGGAGGCAGCAGUGGGGAAUUUUGGACAAUGGGCGAAAGCCUGAUCCAGCCAUGCCGCGUGCAGGAUGAAGGCCUUCGGGUUGUAAACUGCUUUUGUACGGAACGAAAAGACUCUGGUUAAUACCUGGGGUCCAUGACGGUACCGUAAGAAUAAGCACCGGCUAACUACGU
rnacentral:rRNA from 1 species